CGAGUGAAGUGGGAAAAGCUCAACUUUGUAAUCUGGCUGCUUUGCAGUCCGAGUUGUAGUCUAGAGAAGUAUGAUCCGCGUCGGACCUUACAGAUGUCUGUUGGAAUGCAGUGUCAAAGAGGGUGAGAAUCCCGUACAUAGUAAGGACGCCCGUAUGCAUUGUGAUCUACUUUCAAAGAGUCGAGUUGUUUGGGAAUGCAGCUCAAAUUGGGUGGUAAAUUCCAUCUAAAGCUAAAUAACGGGGAGAGACCGAUAGCGAACAAGUACCGUGAGGGAAAGAUGAAAAGCACUUUGGAAAGAGAAUGAAACAGUAUGUGAAAUUGCUGGAAGGGAAACGAUUGAAGUUAGACUUGCGCGGUGUUGAUUCAGCCUGGCUUCGGCCUGGUGUACUUCUUCAUCAUUGCAGGCCAGCAUCAGUUUGUUCACUGUAAAAGGGUGUUAGGAACGUGGCUUCUUCGGAAGUGUUAUAGCCUUUCACUGGAUGCAGAGUCGUGGACUGAGGACCGCAGCGCGCCUUUACGGCAGUUCCUUCGGGUUCAAAGCGCUUAGG
rnacentral:rRNA from 1 species